rnacentral:lncRNA from 1 species
CUCGGCAGUAUGUGCGUAUGCUUAGUCAUUUCCAACUCUUUGGGGUCUCAUGGACUGUAGCCUACCAGGCUCCUCUGUGCAUUAAAUUUUCCAGGCAAGAAUACUAAAAUGGGUUAUCAUUUCCUUCUCUAGGGGAUCUUCCUGACCCAGGGAUUGAACCCUUGUCUCUUGGGUCUCCUGCAUUCGCAGGCAGAUUCUUUACCAGCUGAGCCAUGGCAGACCAAGCUAUGGCCAGAGAGUGGACAUGGACCAUUGCACAGGGAAUCAACGUGCAAAACUUUACCGGAUGUUUUUGGAGGAUGAAUAUAAAGCAGGAAGUCGAAGAGUUGAAGAGCAUGGGUAGCAUUGAAACUGUGAGCUUUGGAGCCAUGAAGGAAUGUUAUUUACUUCAGAAACCACACUGUUAGCUUCUGAGGUAAACAAUAUUUACUCAGUCAUUAGACCGAAAAUGCAAUUGAUGCCUUUUAAUUCUGUAAUCACCUAUAAACAAAGCAAAGAAUACUUAACUGUGGUUACAGAAUAAUGUUUUCAACCUUGAUAAUGUGAAGUGUGGAGGUAGAAAAGGGAAGGAGGCAAGUAAGG